rnacentral:rRNA from 1 species
GACGAACGCUGGCGGCGUGCCUAAUACAUGCAAGUAGAACGCUGAAGAGAGGAGCUUGCUCUUCUUGGAUGAGUUGCGAACGGGUGAGUAACGCGUAGGUAACCUGCCUUGUAGCGGGGGAUAACUAUUGGAAACGAUAGCUAAUACCGCAUAACAAUGGAUGACACAUGUCAUUUAUUUGAAAGGGGCAAUUGCUCCACUACAAGAUGGACCUGCGUUGUAUUAGCUAGUAGGUGAGGUAACGGCUCACCUAGGCGACGAUACAUAGCCGACCUGAGAGGGUGAUCGGCCACACUGGGACUGAGACACGGCCCAGACUCCUACGGGAGGCAGCAGUAGGGAAUCAUCGGCAAUGGGGGCAACCCUGACCGAGCAACGCCGCGGGAGUGAAGAAGGUUUUCGGAUCGUAAAGCUCUGUUGUAAGUCAAGAACGAGUGUGAGAGUGGAAAGUUCACACUGUGACGGUAGCUUAACAGAAAGGGACGGCUAACUACGUG